CUCCAAGCAAGUUUAAGGCAUGACCAGCACCUGUAUGCAUGACCAGCACCUCCCCAAAUGGUUGUGAUUUUUCAGACACCUGCCUGUGGCCCUUUGAUAAGUUUACCCUAGCACUAGCAGCUGACGUCACUGACCUAUCUUCAAUGUUAAGUAAGUUUGUGUACAAACUUAAUAAUCAUUUCCCAGCAGGGAGCAAAGUAGAAGUC
rnacentral:lncRNA from 1 species